rnacentral:rRNA from 1 species
ACUCAAAUGAAUUGACGGGGGCCCGCACAAGCGGCGGAGCGCGUUGCUUAAUUCGAUGCAAAGCGAAGAACCUUACCUGGGUUUGACAUGCCAGAAGUAGGCGCCUGAAAGGGUUGCCCACCCGUAAAGUCGGGAACUGGUGCAGGUGUUGCAUGGCUGUCGUCAGCUCGUGCCGUGAGGUGUUGGGUUAAGUCCCGCAACGAGCGCAACCCUCGCCCUAUGUUGCCACCGGGUAAUGCCGAGCACUCAUGGGGGACUGCCGGAGAAACUCCGGAGGAAGGGGAGGAUGAUGUCAAGUCCGCAUGGCCCUUAAGCCCAGGGCUGCUAACGCGCUACAAUGCGCGGUACAGCGGGUAGCGAGACCGCAAGGUGGAGCCAAUCCCGAAAAGCCGCGCCCAGUUCGGAUCGGGGUCUGCAACCCGACCCCGUGAAGUUGGAGUCGCUAGUAAUGGCAGAUCAGCAUGCUGCCGUGAAUGCGUUCUCGGGCCUUGUACACACCGCCCGU